GACGAACGCUGGCGGCGUGCUUAACACAUGCAAGUCGAACGGAAAGGCCCUGCUUUUGUGGGGUGCUCGAGUGGCGAACGGGUGAGUAACACGUGAGUAACCUGCCCUUGACUUUGGGAUAACUUCAGGAAACUGGGGCUAAUACCGGAUAGGAGCUCCUGCUGCAUGGUGGGGGUUGGAAAGUUUCGGCGGUUGGGGAUGGACUCGCGGCUUAUCAGCUUGUUGGUGGGGUAGUGGCUUACCAAGGCUUUGACGGGUAGCCGGCCUGGGAGGGUGACCGGCAAAAUUGGGCCGGAGAGACGGCCAAGACGCAUACGGGAGGCAGCAGUGGGGAAUAUGGCACAAUGGGCGGAAGCCUGAUGCAGAAACGCCGCGUGCGGGAUGACGGCCUUCGGGUUGGAAACCGCUUUCGCCUGUGACGAAGCGUGAGUGACGGUAAUGGGUAAAGAAACACCGGCGAACUACGG
rnacentral:rRNA from 1 species